AUUGAACGCUGGCGGCAUGAUUUACACAUGCAAGUCGAACGGUAACAGGCCGCAAGGUGCUGACGAGUGGCGCACGGGUGAGUAAUGCAUCGGAACGUGCCCAGUCGUGGGGGAUAACUACUCGAAAGAGUAGCUAAUACCGCAUACGAUCUAUGGAUGAAAGCGGGGGACCGUAAGGCCUCGCGCGAUUGGAGCGGCCGAUGUCAGAUUAGGUAGUUGGUGGGGUAAAGGCUCACCAAGCCAACGAUCUGUAGCUGGUCUGAGAGGACGACCAGCCACACUGGGACUGAGGCACGGCCCAGACUCCUACGGGAGGCAGCAGUGGGGAAUUUUGGACAAUGGGCGCAAGCCUGAUCCAGCAAUGCCGCGUGCAGGAAGAAGGCCUUCGGGUUGUAAACUGCUUUUGUACGGAACGAAACGGCUCUGGUUAAUACCCGGGGCUAAUGACGGUACCGUAAGAAUAAGCACCGGCUAACUACGUG
rnacentral:rRNA from 1 species